rnacentral:lncRNA from 1 species
AUCUUUUGUAUUUAUUUUGAUUCUCAUAGAAAGUACAUGUUAAUAUUUUUGGAGACUUUGAGUUGAUGAUUCAUUUCAGUUUAACAUGUACAUAUUAGAAACCCAUUUUGUUGAUGUUAUGUCGCAUGUGUUGUGACAUGGUAUCCUUGUUAGAAUACCGUAGGGUAUACCUGAGCUAUAACCACCUGUGGGGGUACCACAGGCAUGUCCUCUUGGCACCGAGGCAUGACACCUUCCGUGGCGGUGUGAUCAGUCCACGGCGUCUCCGUUUUGUGCUCCGGUGGGAGUUGGCCAUUUGGUGUUUUGUUGUGGGAGGCGUAUGGGUCGACCCUAGUUUUCUGUUCUGUUCUGUUCUGCGGAUUGGUGAUGUUUGUGCCAAACACGCCUUCCGAUUUUACAUGCAUUGGAUUCGCGGUCCAAUGUGUGUGACUUGCCUGUGUGGCAUUAUUUGACUUGCCUAUGUGGCAUUAUUUGACUUGCCUGUGUGGCAAGGUAUAUUUCUGUUUUAUUCUGAGCUCGGUAUGAAAUAACACCCAGCCAUUUGAUUCAGCCUAUUAUUUCGUUGUGUUAGAUUUGUUCGUUUCGUUUCAGUUCGUUUCGUCUCUUUUCAUUUAAUUGAGUUAGUUAUUUCGGUUCAUUAUUUAUAUUCUAUAUCCGUACUGGGCGUUUGGCUCAUGCUGUGUUUUCUUCCGACAGGUAAUCAAGAGAAUCAAGGGCAAGUGUGAUGAGAGCUCCAUUCAUUCCAAUGAUUUAGAAAUAUUCUGUUUAGACUUGAUGUGUCAGUUUACUUGGAAUUAUAAUAAUUAUUUUAGAUUGUGGUUUGAGACAGUUGGAGAUUUAUUAUGGUUGACUUGUGGUAUUUAUCAGUUAUUAAGACUAUUCUUUUGUGGCUUUGAGCCUUACUAUUAAAUUCAUUAGUUUUGUUGUGUUUUGAGUAACCUCUCUUUCUAUUUCGGAAAGGGGGUGUUACAGAGUUGGUAUCAAAGCCAGGUUCUUUCUUGUAGAAAACCUAUUUAGGUUUGACCUGUGAGUUAUGGGUAGACUUCUGGGUUAGGUUUUUAUUCUGUUUAACCUUCUGUUCAGCUAUCAUAUUCGCUAUAUUCGAAUUUGUCUCUAAUCUUCUUUGUUUAUGUUCAUGAUCUCUUUCUUAGAUGGCUCAUAGAUCUGCUAGAGUUAUUGGGAGGCGAGGCAAUAAUAGGGGAAGAGGUAAUGGUCAGCCCAAUGAGCAACCUAAUGAUCAGAUAAAUGCUCAAUUGGCUACCUUGGUGAAUCAGGCGGUGAAUCAGGCUUUACCUCAGUUGGUGGCACAUGUUGUACAGGCAAUGCAGCAGCCGCCACCAGAAAUUCCUGAGCAAGGGAAUCCGGGAAAUAAUGGUCAACAAGAAAAUGUCGAAGGGAAUAGAGAUGGUCUUGAUCAGCAGGUGGUUCCGAUGUAUGUAUGGUUGGAGAGGUUUCAAAAGCAGAAACCACAUGCAUUCAGUUUAGCUCCGACUCCAAUUGAUGCAGAGAUUUGGAUUGCCCACUUAGAGAAGAUUUUUGAUGUGUUGGGGUGCUCGAAUAAUCAGAAAGUGUUACUUGCUGCUUACAAGCUGGAAGGGGAUGCACAGAGGUGGUGGAAGGCGGUGAAAGUAACAAAGGGUGAUGGAUAUGUUGGAACACUUAGCUGGGCAGAAUUUUGUGGGGUCUUUUAUUAGCAGUAUUUUCCUGCUGCUGAUAAAGAGGCCUAUGCUAGAGAAUAUAUGUCGAUUCGGCAGAAAGAUGACGAGUCCAUCACGGACUUCAUGACGAGGUUCACUAGGUUGGCAGGAUUUACGGGAACUUCUGCAGGGACUGCAGUGGAACAGGCGGAGAAGUUCAAGUGGCGGAUUCAUUAUAGGUAUCGACAACAUCUAAUUAUUAACAAGUUUGCAGACGUGUCAGCAGUGGCCAAUGCGGCCAAAAAUAUUGAGAUGGAGCGACAGGACUUUCGGUCUUCUAAACCAGAUGGGAGUCGGAAGAGGGACAGAGAUGACCAGCAGGGUCAAACUUCAGUUCAGCAUGGGAGAAAUCAAGGUGGUCAGUUGAAUAGGAAUCGUGGUGGCCAACAGGGGCAGUGGCGUGGUCAGAAUCAAAACAGGGGUUAUCAGUAGAUGCCUUAGCAAGGGCAUAAUCGUCAGCUGCAGCUACCUUGGAAUGAUCAGAAUCGUCAACAGGGACAGAAUCAAGGUCGUUAUCCGGGACCAGCUGGUGGGGGUAACCCAAAUCUCAUUCCAAUAGCUCCUUGUGCUAUUUGUGGGGCUAAUCAUCCGAGGAAGUAGUGCCACAGACUCACAGGUGCAUGCUUCUUGUGUGGACAGAUGGGUCAUAUUGCUAGGGAUUGUACCGGCCCACGUGGAAAUGGUGGAAGUGGUGAUAAUGGUUGCAAUGGAGGUCAGCGUCAGGGUGGUCGAGUGUUUUCCAUGACAUAUAACCAGGCGGCAGGUGCACCAGGUAUUGUUUUGGGCACUCUUUUAGUUGGUAAUCGUGAGGCUUCUAUUUUGUUUGAUACGGGUUCUACUCAUUCCGUUGUUGCUCAGUCUUUUGUUCGGCACAUGGGUGUGCCAUCUCAGUGUUUAGAUUCUGUUAUGUCUAUUGCUACCCCGAUGGGGACUUCUGUUGUUAUUUCUGAUUUGUAUCGAGGGUGUCCGAUCAGUUUUGGGGAUAGGAUUCGUAGGGAUAAUCUUCUCCCGAUGAGUAUGCACGAUUUUGAUGUCAUUCUUGGGAUGGACUGGUUGGAUAAGCACCAGGCUACUAUCGAUUGUCAGGCGAAAAAGGUUAUAUUUGGAGAUGUGAAAUCUCCAGAUUUCGUGUUUCAGGGUUCACAGCCGAGUAGAGUUGUGAAGUUAAUUUCAGCUUUGAAGGCUGGAAAAUUGGUGGCAAAGGGUUGUGAGGGGUAUUUGGCAUUUGUGAAAGAUACCUCUAAGGGUGAGUCUCGUAUUGAAGAUGUUCCAAUUGUUUGUGAUUUUCCCGAUAUGUUUCCUGAGGAGUUGUCAGGGUUUCCACCACAGCGGGAAGUGGAGUUUUCUAUUGAGCUUGUUCCUGGUGCGGAGCCUAUCUCUAAGGCGCCGUAUCGGAUGGCACCAUUGGAGUUGCAGGAGUUGAAAGAGCAGUUGAAAGAACUGUUAGAUCGUGGCGUGAUUCGGCCGAGUGUUUCGCCGUGGGGUGCUCCAGUCUUGUUUAUGAAGAAGAAGGAUGGGUCUAUGAGGCUGUGUAUAGACUACAGGGAGUUGAACAAGAUUACCAUCAGGAAUCGGUAUCCAUUGCCGAGGAUUGAUGACUUGUUUGACCAACUUCAGGGGGCAAAGUAUUUUUCGAAGAUAGACUUGAGGUCGGGCUAUCAUCAGUUGAGGGUGAGGGAUGAGGAUAUCCCUAAGACGGCUUUUCGUACUCGAUAUGGGCAUUACGAGUUUCUGGUGAUGCCAUUCGGGUUGACUAACGCUCCGGCGGUGUUCAUGGAUUUAAUGAAUCGGGUGUUCAGAGAGUACUUAGACCAAUUUGUUAUUGUCUUUAUUGAUGACAUUUUGGUUUACUCCAAGUCUAAGGAAGAGCAUGAGGAGCAUCUUCGUACAGUGUUGGGGAUUUUGCAGAAAGAGAAAUUGUAUGCUAAAUUCUCUAAAUGCGAAUUCUGGUUGGAGCAAGUUGCAUUUUUGGGCCACGUUGUUUCUGCUGAGGGCAUUAAGGUGGAUCCUGCGAAGGUUGAGGCUAUCACUAAAUGGCCGAGACCUACUACGGUGACAGAGAUUAGGAGUUUCUUGGGUUUGGCAGUGUACUAUAGGCGAUUUGUGGAGGAUUCUCUUUGCUUGCCUUACCAUUGACUCAGUUGAUGAGAAAGGGUGUGAAGUUUGUGUGGAAUGAGGAGCGUGAGAAGAGUUUCAAGGAGUUGAAGAAACGACUUGUGACAGCUCCUAUACUUGCAUUGCCGUCGGGGACAGGAGGUUACCAGAUUUAUAGUGAUGCUUCUAAGAAGGGCUUGGGGUGUGUUUUGAUGCAACACGGUAAGGUGAUUGCUUAUGCUUCUAGGCAGCUUAAACCUUAUAAGGUGAACUACCCAACACAUGAUUUAGAGUUGGCAGCGGUGAUCUUUGCCUUAAAGAUUUGGAGGCAUUAUUUGUAUGGAGAGACUUGUGAUAUCUUCACCGAUCACAAAAGUCUUAAAUACAUAUUUACUCAGAAGGAGCUCAAUAUGAGGCAGAGACGUUGGUUGGAGCUUCUAAAAGAUUAUGAUGCGAGGAUACAGUAUCACCCGGGAAAGGCAAAUGUGGUUGCAGAUGCUCUUAGCCAAAAGAGUUCUGGGAUUGUAGCAGCCCUUAUUACACAACCUCAACUUAUUUUGGAUAUGGAUCAGCUAGAGUUGGAGUUGUAUGUACGAGGUUCAGAUGGGCAUUUGGCGGGUAUGAGAGUGGAGCCCUCUCUUAUCUCGCGAGUUAAAGAAGCUCAAAAAGAAGAUGGGGAGUUGUGGAGUAUGACGCAAAAUCUAGAGGAGGGCAAGCAGUCCGAGUUUCGCAUUGAUGACCAUGGUGUGAUUUGGUUGGGUGAGCGAUUGUGUCUACCGUCGGAUCCAAUCAUUCGGGAGGCUAUGUUGGCUGAGGCUCAUAGUUCGCCAUUUUCUAUUCAUCUAGGUUCAACGAAGAUGUAUAGGGAUUUGAAGAGGAAUUUUUGGUGGAAUGGGAUGAAACGAGAUGUGGCUGAAUAUGUUGGGAAGUGCCUCACUUGUCAACAAGUGAAGAUAGAACAUCAACGAGCUAGUGGUUUGUUGCAACAGUUAGACAUUCCAGUGUGGAAGUGGGAGGAUAUCAUGAUGGAUUUUGUGACUGGUUUGCCAAAGACUUUCAGGAAGAAUGAUGCCAUAUGGGUAGUGGUGGACCGGUUGACCAAAUCGGCACACUUUUUGGCUAUCCGUGAGGGUUACUCGGUGGAUAGGUUGGCACAUAUCUUUCAGCAGGAGAUUGUUAGACUUCAUGGUACUCCGGUGUCUAUUGUUUUAGAUCGGGAUCCAAGAUUCACUUCACGAUUUUGGAAAGGGUUUCAACAAGCUUGGGGCACUCGACUCAACUUCAGUACUUCUUUCCAUCCGCAAACUGAUGGGCAAUCCGAACGUACUAUUCAGACAUUAGAGGACAUGUUGAGGUCUUGUGCACUUGAGUGGUCGGGUAAUUGGGAUGAUUACUUGAGCCUAGUUGAAUUUUCUUAUAACAAUAGCUGGCAUGCAAGUAUUGGAAUGGCUUCGUUUGAGGCACUGUAUGGUAGAAAGUGUCAAGCACCAACUUGUUGGGAUGAGGUUGGCGAAAGGGCCAUAGAAGGGCCUGAGUUAGUUCAAAUCACUACGAAGAAGGUAGCGGUGGCUAAGGAGAAAUUGAAGUCGGCUCGAUCACGACAGAAGUGUUAUGUUGAUAAGCAUAGGAGGACUUUAGAAUUUGAACCUGGUGAGCAUGUGUUUCUAAAAGUUUCUCCUUGGAAGGGCAUUCGGCGAUUCGGGUUGAAAGAAAAGCUUAGUCCACGUUAUAUCGGCCCGUUUGAGAUUUUAGAGAGGGUUGGUGAAGUUGCAUAUCGGAUAGCUUUGCCUCCACAGCUAGCUCAUGUGCACAAUGUAUUCCAUGUGUCGGCGUUGAGGAGUUAUCAUUAUCGUCCGUUGCACGUGGUGCAAUAUCCGUUAGAUAAGAUUCGGAAGGAUCUUACUUGUGAGGAGUAAGCUGAGGCGAUUUUGGAUCGUCAAGAAAGGAUUAUGAGGAGGAAGACUAUUCCGUUUGUUAAGGUUCUGUGGAGGAACCAUUCGGAGCGAGAAGCCACUUGGGAGCUUGAGGAGUCUAUUCGAGCGGAAUAUCAGCAUCUUUUUGAUAAUUAGGUACGUUCUAUUCUUUUGAUUCCGGGGACAGAAUUCUUUUAAGGGGUAGGUGAUGUAAUACCCGAAAAAAAAAUAAUAUUAAAUAAUAAAAAAAUUACCUUGUUUUAAAACAUAUUUUUUUUUCUUUUGGAUGUCAUUUAUUUUGGGUCAAAAUAAUCAUUUAAUUUUUGUGGGCUAAUGUAAUAAUAAGUGUGGAUAAAUUAAAUUGGUAAAAUUGAGCUUUAAAAUUUAGUGGGUCAAAUUUAUAAUUGUGUAAUCUUAAAAUUCUAUUAAAAUUUGGAGAAUUAAUAAAAUAUGUUAAUUAAUAAAAUCUGUUUUUAAGUAAAUAAAUAACUAAACCUAAUCUUAUUUUCCUUAUACAACCUUAGAAAGAGAAAAGGAGAAAGCCGCCUCUUAUUAUAAUUUUGAGAGAAGUGUGUAUCAGAAUAGAAAAGGAACACAGGUAUGUUUGUUUGUUCUUUGUCAUUUUUUUUUCAUCUUUGUAUAUCAAUUGAAAACUGACUUAAUCACGUGGCAAGGGUCUGGAGAGUAGUGUUUCAUUAAAUCAUAUAUAUGUAUAUAUGAUUAUAGAAUUCAGGAUAUAUGUAUCACGAGUAUAUAUGUAUACUUGAUAAACCAUGUUAAGGAAUUUAGAUGAUAUCAUUCACUUAUAUAUAUAUUCGUAAGUUUUGUUUUUUUUUUAUUUUUUUUUAUUUUAACUACUGUUACAUAAUUGUGUUAUAUAUAUAUAUAUAUAUAUAUAUAUAUAUAUAUAUAUUAGAGUUAUUGUUUUGUCUAAAAUAAUAAAAGGGUAAUGAUUAAAAGAUUAAUUUUAAUUUAAUUUGAAUUUGUCUCAUAAACUAAUGUAAAUUAGGAAAUAAAUUCAUGUUAUUAUAAAUUAUAGUUAUUAUGUAACUUAUAGUUAUUAUUAUUUUGUGUAAUUAGUUCGAACGGAAGGAAUUUAACGAACUAUAUUGGGAUAAAAAUUUUGGGUAUUACAUUGCUUAAUCCAGGUACGGAUUCCGUACUUUUUCAGCGAGACUCUUUUGUUUUUAAUUUGUUUGUUUCGUUAUUCAUUUCGAAAUUUAGCAUUGCGUCUCAUGAUUAUUCCUUGUCAAUUUAUUUUGAUAGUUCAUUUUGGUAUUCAUAGUUGGAACUCAUAUUUGUACUCUUGAUCUAAUGUAUCAUCUUUUGUAUUUAUUUUGAUUUUCAUAGAAAGUACAUGUUAAUAUUUUUGGAGACUUUGAGUUGAUGAUUCAUUUCAGUUUAAUAUGUACAUAUUAGAAACCCAUUUUGUUGAUGUUAUGUCGCAUGUGUUGUGAUAUGGUAUCCUUGUUAGAAUACCGUAGGGUAUACCUGAGCUAUAACCACCUGUGGGAGUAUCACAGGCAUGUCCUCUUGGCACCGCGGCAUGACACCUUCCGUGGCGGUGUGAUCAGUCCACGGCGUCUCCGUUUUGUGCUCCGUUGGGAGUUGGCCAUUUGGUGUUUUGUUGUGGGAGGCGUAUGGGUCGACCCUAGUUUUCUGUUCUGUGGAUUGGUGAUGUUUGUGCCAAACACGCCUUCCGAUUUUAUAUGCAUUGGAUUCACGGUCCAAUGUGUGUGACUUGCCUGUGUGACAUUAUUUGAUUUGCCUAUGUGGCAUUAUUUGACUUGCCUGUGUGGCAAGGUAUAUUUCUAUUUUAUUCUGAGCUCGGUAUGAAAUAACACCCAGCCAUUUGAUUCAGCCUAUUAUUUCGUUGUGUUAGAUUUGUUCGUUUCGUUUCAGUUCGUUUCGUCUCUUUUCAUUUAAUUGAGUUAGUUAUUUCGGUUCAUUAUUUGUAUUCUAUAUCCGUACUGGGCGUUUGACUCAUGCUGUGUUUUCUUCCGGCAGGUAAUCAGGGGAAUCACGGGCAAGUGUGAUGAGAGCUCCAUUCAUUCCAAUGAUUUAGAAAUAUUCUAUUUAGACUUGAUGUGUCAGUUUACUUGGAAUUGUAAUAACUAUUUUAGAUUGUGGUUUGAGACAGUUGGAGAUUUAUUAUGGUUGACUUGUGGUAUUUAUCAGUUAUUAAGACUAUUUUUUUGUGGCUUUGAGCUUUGCUAUUAAAUUCAUUAGUUUUGUUGUGUUUUGAGUAACCUCUCUUUCUAUUUCGGAAAGGGGGUGUUAUAGUGGGAGAGAAAAUAAGCUUUUCUUUGUAAUUGAAUUGGCAAAUUAAAAAUGAAAGGAAAGCCUCCUAUUUAUAGAUUUUUGAGAUCAGGGACAGAAAAGUAAUUUUCAAAAUUUGAUUUAAAAUUAAUGGUUGAGAUGAUCAAUUUUGAAAUGAACGGUUCGGAUAAAAAAAAAUUCACGCGGUAGAAGCUUGAAUUCCGCCCAGGCAUUUCUUCAUCAACUUUGCAUUUAAUGAUCAAUUUGAAUCCCAGCAUUUAUUUCGGUCAAGGAGGUUGAAUGAAGAAGGAGCACGCGUUUUUAGGAAAUAAAAAUUGUCAGCACACUUUUUCUUUAUAUCAAUCAUUUAUGCCAUUAUACUUAAAUUAUACACAUAUGAGUCAUGCAAUUUAAUGCACACGGUUUUUAAAAAACAAACUUGCCAGCAAUUGCUAGCUCAUGCUUUGAAAAAGGAAAGCCUGCUUGGUAUUAUACAUAUAUAUAAUAUAUAUAAAAUACAUAUAUAAUCCGCUAGAGUUGCUGGGAGGAGAGGUAACAAUAGGGGAAGGGGUGAUGUUCAGCCCAAUGAGCAACCUAAUGAUCAGAUAAAUGCUCAACUAGUUAACUUGGUGAAUCAGGCGGUUAAUCAGGCUUUACCGCAGUUAGUGGCACAGGUUGUACAGGCAAUGUAACAGCCGCCAGAAAUUCCUGAGCAGGGGCACUCGGGAAAUAAUGGUCCACAAACAAACGAAGAGGAAGGAAAUGUGGAUGGCCUUGAUCAGCAGGUGGUCCCAAUGUAUAUGUGGUUGGAGAGGUUUCAGAAGCAGAAGCCACAGUCUUUCAGUUCUGCUCAACUCCAAUUGAUGCGGAAAAUUGGAUUGCUCACCUAGAGAAGAUUUUUGAUGUGUUGGGAUGCUCAGAUAAUCAAAGAGUGUUGCUUGCUGCUUACAAGCUAGAGGGGGAUGCACAGAGGUGGUGGAAAGCACUGAAGACAACAAAGGGUGAUGGCUACGUGGAGACACUUCAUUGGGCAUAGUUUUGUGAGGUCUUUUAUCAGCAGUACUUUCCAGCUGCUGAUAAAGAGGCCUAUGCUAGAGAGUAUCUAUCCAUUCGGCAGAAGGAUGAUGAGUCCAUUACCGAUUCCAUGACCAAGUUCACCAGGUUGGCAGGUUUUGCGGGAACGUCUGCAGGGACUACAGCAAAACAGGCGGAGAAGUUCAAGUGGCGGAUUCAUUAUAGGUAUCCCCAACAUCUCAUUAACACCAAGUUUGCGGAUGUAUCGCCGGUGGCUAAUGAGGCCAAGAACAUUGAGAUGGAGCGGCAGGACUUUCGGACUUCUAAACCGGAAGGGAGUCGAAAGAGGGACAGAGAUGACCAGCAGGGUCAAGCUUCGGGUCAGCAUGGGAGAAAUCAAGGUGGUCAGUGGAACAGAAAUUGUGGUGUUCAGCAGGGGAAGUGGCGUGGUCAGAAUCAGAACAGGGGUUAUCAGCAGAUGCCUCAGCUAGUGCAGAAUCGUCAGCUUCAGUUACCUUGGUAUGGACAAAAUCUUCAGCAGGGACAGAAUCGUCCGCAGGGGCAAAAUCAGGGUCGUUACCCAGGACCAGCUGGUGGGGGUAACCCGAAUCUUAUUCCGAUAGCUUCUUGUGUUACUUGUGGGGCUAAUCAUCCGGAGAGGCAGUGCCACAGACUCACCGGUGCAUGCUUCUUGUGUGGACAGAUGGGUCACAUUGCUAGGGAUUGUACCGGUCCACGCGGAAAUGGUGGAGGUGGUGAUAAUGGUGGCAAUGGAGGUCAACGUCAGGGUGGUCGAGUGUUUUCCUUGACGUAUAACCAGGCGGCAGGUGCACCAGGUACUAUUUCUGGUACUCUUUUAGUUGGAAAUCGUGAGGCGUCUAUUUUGUUUGAUACGGGUUCUACUCAUUCUGUUGUUGCUCAGUCUUUUGUUCGGCACCUGGGUGUGCCAUCUCAGUCUUUGGAUUCUGUUAUGUCUAUUGCUACCCCGAUGGGGACUUUAGUUGUUAUUUCUGAUUUAUAUCGAGGGUGUCCGAUCAGUUUUAGGGAUAAGAUUCGUAGGGUUAAUCUCCUUCUGAUGUGUAUGCACGAUUUCGAUAUCAUUCUUGGGAUGGACUGGUUGGAUAAGCACCGUGCCACUAUCGAUUUUCAGGCGAAGAAGGUUAUAUUUGGAGAUGUGAAGUCUCUGGAGUUCGUGUUUCAGGGUUCACAAUCGAGUAGGGUGUUGAAGUUGAUUUCAGCUUUGAAGGCUGGGAAGUUGGUAGCAAAGGGUUGUGAGGGGUAUUUGGCAUUUGUGAAGGAUACCUCUAAGGGUGAGUCUCAUAUUGAGGAUGUUCCAAUUGUUUGUGACUUUUCAGAUGUGUUUCCUGAGGAGUUGUCAGGGUUGCCACCACAGCGGGAAGUAGAGUUUGCUAUUGAGCUUGUUCCUGGUGCAGAGCCUUUUUCUAAGGCGCCGUAUCGGAUGGCACCAUUGGAGUUGCAGGAGUUGAAGGAGCAGUUGCAAGAACUGUUGGAUCGUGGUGUAAUUCGCCCGAGUGUUUCACCGUGGGGUGCUCCAGUCUUGUUUGUGAAGAAGAAGGAUGGGUCUAUGAGGCUGUGUAUAGAUUACAGAGAGUUGAAAAAGAUUACCAUCAGAAAUCGGUAUCCAUUGCCGAGGAUUGAGGACUUGUUUGACCAACUUCAGGGGGCGAAAUAUUUUUCAAAAAUAGACUUGAGGUCGGGCUAUCAUCAGUUGAGGGUGAGGGAUGAGGAUAUCCCUAAGACGGCUUUUCGUACUCGAUAUGGGCAUUACGAGUUUCUGGUGAUGCCAUUUGGGUUGACUAACGCUCCGGCAAUGUUUAUGGAUUUGAUGAAUCGAGUGUUUAGGGAGUACUUGGACAAUUUUGUUAUUGUUUUUAUUGAUGACAUUUUGGUUUACUCCAAGUCUAAGGAAGAGCAUGAGGAGCAUCUUCGCAUAGUGUUGGGGAUUUUGCAGAAAGAGAAGUUGUAUGCUAAAUUCUCUAAAUGCGAAUUCUGGUUGGAGCAGGUUGCAUUUUUGGGCCACGUUGUUUCUGCUGAGGGCAUUAAGGUGGAUCCUGCGAAGGUUGAGGCUAUCACUAAAUGGCCGAGACCUACUACAGUGACAGAGAUUAGAAGUUUCUUGGGUUUGGCAGGGUAUUAUAGGCGGUUUGUGGAAGGAUUUUCCUUACUUGUCUUGCCAUUGACUUAGUUGAUGAGAAAGGGCGUGAAGUUUGUGUGGAAUGAGGAGCGGGAGAAGAGUUUCGAGGAAUUGAAGAAACGACUCGUGACAGCUCCUAUACUUGCAUUGUCGUCGGGGAUAGAAGGGUACCAGAUUUAUAGUGAUGCUUCUAAGAAGGGCUUGGGGUGUGUUUUGAUGCAACACGGUAAGGUGAUUGCUUAUGCUUCUAGGCAGCUUAAACCUUAUGAGGUGAACUACCCCUCACAUGAUUUGGAGUUGGCAGCGGUGAUCUUUGCCUUAAAGAUUUGGAGGAAUUAUUUGUAUGGGGAGACUUGUGAUAUCUUCACCGAUCACAAAAGUCUUAAAUACAUUUUCACUCAGAAGGAGCUCAAUAUGAGACAAAGGCGUUGGUUGGAGCUUCUAAAAGACUAUGAUGCUAGAAUUCAGUAUCACCCGAGAAAGGCAAAUGUGGUUGCAGAUGCUCUUAGCAGAAAGAGUUUUGGGAAUGUAGCAGCCCUUAUUACACAACCUCAGCUUAUCUCGGAUAUGGAGAGGAUCGAGUUGGAGUUGUAUGUACGAAGUUCAGAUGGGCAUUUGGCAGGUAUGAGAGUGGAGCCCUCUCUUAUCUCGCGGGUCAAAGAAGCUCAAAAGGAAGAUGGGGAGUUAUGGGGUCUGACGCAGAAUUUAGAGGAGGGCAAGUAGCCCGAGUUUCGUAUUGAUGACCACGGUGUGAUUUGGUUGGGUGAGCGGUUGUGUGUACCGUCAGAUCCAAUCAUUUGAGAGGCUGUGUUGGCUGAGGCUCAUAGUUUGCUAUUUUCUAUUCAUCCAGGUUCUACGAAGAUGUAUAGGGAUUUGAAGAAGAAUUUUUGGUGGAAUGGGAUGAAACGAGAUGUGGCUGAGUAUGUUGGGAAGUGCCUCACUUGUCAGCAAGUGAAGAUAGAACAUCAACGAGCUAGUGGCUUGUUGCAACAGUUAGACAUUCCAGUGUGGAAGUGGGAGGAUAUCACGAUGGAUUUUGUGACGGGUUUGCCGAAGACUUUCAGGAAGAAUGAUGCCAUAUGGGUGGUGGUGGACCGGUUGACCAAAUCGGCACACUUUUUGGCUAUCCAUGAGGGUUACUCGAUGGAUAGAUUGGCACAUAUCUUUCAACAGGAGAUUAUUAAACUUCAUGGUACUCCGGUGUCUAUUGUUUCAGAUCGGGACCCACGGUUCACUUCAAGGUUUUGGAAAGGGUUUCAACGAGCUUGGGGCACUCGGCUCAACUUCAGUACUUCUUUCCAUCCGCAAACUGAUGGGCAAUCCGAGAGGACUAUUCAGACAUUAGAGGAUAUGUUGAGGUCUUGUGCACUUGAGUGGUCGGGUAAUUGGGAUGAUUACUUGAGCCUAGUUGAGUUUGCUUACAACAACAGCUGGCAUGCAAGUAUUGGAAUGGCUCCGUUUGAGGCAUUGUAUGGUAGGAAAUGUCGGGCACCAACUUGUUGGGAUGAGGUUGGAGAAAGGGCUAUAGAAGGGCCUGAGUUAGUCCAAAUCACUAUGGAGAAGGUAGUGGUGGCUAAAGAGAAAUUGAAGUCGGCUCGAUCACGACAGAAGUGUUAUGCUGAUAAGCAUAGGAGGACUUUAGAGUUUGAACCUAGUGAGCAUGUGUUUCUAAAAGUUUCUCCUUGGAAGGGCAUUCGGCGAUUCGGGUUGAAAGGGAAGCUUAGUCCGCGAUAUAUUGGUCCAUUUGAGAUUUUGGAGAGGGUUGGUGAAGUUGCGUAUCGAUUAGCUUUACCUCCGCAGCUAGCUCAUGUGCACAAUGUGUUCCAUGUGUCGGUGUUGAGAAGUUACAAUUAUCAUCCGUUGCACGUGGUGCAAUAUCCAUUCGAUAAGAUUCGAGAGGAUCUUACUUGUGAGGAACAAGCCGAGGCGAUUUUGGAUCGUCAAGAGAGAAUUAUGAGGAGGAAGACUAUUCCGUUUGUUAAAGUUUUAUGGAGAAAUUAUUCGGAGCGGGAGGCUACAUGGGAGAUGGAGGAGUCUAUUCGAGCGGAGUAUCCGCAUCUCUUUGAAAAUUAGGUGCGUUCCAUCUUUUGAUUCCGGGGACGGAAUCCUUUUAAGGGGUAGGUGAUGUAAUACCCGGAAAAAAAUAAUAAUAAUAAUAAAUAAAUAUUAAAAAAAAUGUUGUUUUAAAACAUAUUAAUUAGACUUUGUCAUUUAUUUUGGGUCAAAUUAGUCAUUUAAUUUGUGUGGGCUAAUAAAUAUUAAUAAGAGAUGAGUAAAUUAAUUUAGUACAAUUUGGUCCUUAAAAUUUAUUUUGAUUUAAUUUAAUUAAAUGUGGGUAAUAUUAAUUUUAUUAUAAUUAGGAGAAUAAAUAAAAUAAUUAAUAAAUAAAUAGUUACUAAAACCUAAUCAUACAUGCACUACAAAUCAGAAAAGAAAAGAAUAGAGGUCGGCGGCUGCGCAGUGAAUAGAGAAGAACCAAUUUUAUUUUUUAUCAGGUUUGUUUUUUUGUUUUUCUUUCUUUUACUACUUUCGGCUAUAUAAUUUUUGUGGCGAUUUGCUUUGUAGACAUGAAUUGUGAUGGCAGUCAAAGUUUCUGAUGUUUAUAUAUACUUUUACUAUUUCUGGCGUUAUAUAUAUAUAUAUAUAUAUAUAUAUAUAUAUAUAUAUAUAUAUAUAUAAAAGAUUGGCUGCAGGUGUUAAUAUAUAUAUAUAGGCAUAUUACCAAGUUGCUGCAUAAUUACGUUAUUAUAUAUAUAGAUAUAUUAGGAGAUUGCAAUCUUGCAGCGUUGCUGCAGGCAAUGUUUUCAAUUUUUAUUUUAUUAUAUAUAUAUAUAUAUAUAUAUUAUAUUUUAAUAAAUAUUUAGCCAUGAAAUUUAUAAUUCAAAAUUGGUAAAUCAAAUUGAAGUUAUGUAUAUUAAUUUAAAUUAAUUAAUUUUGCCGGCAUAAUUAUAAAAGUUCUUAUUAAAAAAUUAAAUAAUAUUAUGUUUGUAACGACUAGAUUUGUAAUAAAAUUUAUUUUAUUAUUCUAUUAUUAGAUCGGACGGAAGGAAUUUAAUGAACUAUAUUGGAAUAAUAAUUUUGGGUAUUACAUUGCUUAAUCCAGGUACGGAUUCCGUACUUUUCCAGCAAGACUCUUUUGUUUUUAAUUCGUUCGUUUCGUUAUUCAUUUCGAAAUCUAGUAUUGUCUCUCAUAAUUGUUCCUUGUCAAUUUAUUGUGAUAAAUUUAUUUUGGCGUUGUAUUAGAACUCACAUUGUACUCUUUAGACUAGUGUGUCAUGUCUAAAUUUUAUUUUUAUAUUUAUAGUGAUGUACAUGUUAGUAUAUUUUAGAGACUUGUGUUGACGAUUCGUUCGAUUUAACAUGUACAUGUUAGAACCCCUUUGUGUUGAUAUUUUGUCGCAUGUGUUGUGACAUUAUAUUUUGUUAGAAUACCGUAGGGUAUACCUGAGCUAUAACCACCUGUGGGGGUACCACAGGCAUGUCCUCUUGGCACCGAGGCAUGACACCUUCCGUGGCGGUGUGAUCAGUCCACGGCGUCUCCGUUUUGUGCUCCGGUGGGAGUUGGCCAUUUGGUGUUUUGUUGUGGGAGGCGUAUGGGUCGACCCUAGUUUUCUGUUCUGUUCUGUUCUGCGGAUUGGUGAUGUUUGUGCCAAACACGCCUUCCGAUUUUGCACGCAUCUGGAUUGCGCAGUCCGAUGUGUGAUUGCCUGUGUGGCAUUAUUUGACUUGCCUGUGUGGCAAGGUAUAUUACUAUUUAUUCUGAGCUCGGUAUGAAAUAACACCCAGCCAUCUGAUUCAGCCUAUUAUUUCGUUGUGUUAGUUUUGUUCGUUUCGUUUCAGUUCGUUCGUUUCAUUUCAUUUAAUUGAGUUAGUUAUUUCGGUUCAUUAGUUGUAUUCUAUAUCCGUACUGGGCAUUUGGCUCAUGCUGUGUUUUUCUUUCGGCAGGUAAUCAGGGGAAUCAAGGGCAAGUGUGAUGAGAGCUCCAUUCAUUCCAAUCAUUUAUAGAUAUUCUGUUUAGACUUGAUGUGUCAGUUUACUUAGAAUUGUAAUAAUUAUUUUCGAUUGUGGUUUGAGACAGUUUGAGAUUUAUUAUGGUUGACUGGUGGUAUUAUCAGUUAUUAAGACUAUUCUUUUGUGGCUUUGAACCUUGCUAUUAAAU